rnacentral:rRNA from 1 species
CCUACGGGUGGCAGCAGUGAGGAAUAUUGGUCAAUGGGCGCAGGCCUGAACCAGCCAAGUCGCGUGAGGGAAGACUGCCCUAUGGGUUGUAAACCUCUUUUAUAAGGGAAGAAUAAUGACUACGUGUAGUCAGAUGCCCGUACCUUAUGAAUAAGCAUCGGCUAACUCCGUGCCAGCAGCCGCGGUAAUACGGAGGAUGCGAGCGUUAUCCGGAUUUAUUGGGUUUAAAGGGUGCGUAGGCGGAACAUUAAGUCAGCGGUAAAAUCGAGGGGCUCAACCCCUUUAAGCCGUUGAAACUGGUGAUCUUGAGUGGGCGAGAAGUAUGCGGAAUGCGUGGUGUAGCGGUGAAAUGCAUAGAUAUCACGCAGAACUCCGAUUGCGAAGGCAGCAUACCGGCGCCCGACUGACGCUGAGGCACGAAAGCGUGGGGAUCGAACAGGAUUAGAUACCCGAGUAGUC